UACAGAGGUCCCAAGCGUUACUGAGAAUCACUGGGUUUAAAGGGUGCGUAGGUGGUCCGUUAAGUCAGUUGUGAAAUCCCCGGGCUCAACCCGGGAACUGCUUCUGAUACUGGCGGACUUGAGGCCAGUAGGGGUCACUAGAACUGACGGUGGAGCGGUGAAAUGCGCAGAUAUCAGGAGGAACACCGAUGGCGAAGGCAGCUCGCUGGGACGGUACUGACGCUGAGGCGCGAAAGCGUGGGGAGCAAACAGG
rnacentral:rRNA from 1 species